AAUAAAUACAGAGAUGAGUUUCUGUGUCUAAUUUUGAUCGUCCGUCUUAUUUAUUUUUUCUAUGAUUAGUAUUUUUAUUGUUAUAAGAUUAUAAAACAUAAAUAAUAUUUUGUGCAUGACUUAUAUUUUUUAGUUUUUUUAAAAUAAAUAAGACGGACGAUCAAAGUUGGACCCGAAAACUCAUAACUGCGUUUAUU
rfam:Oryza barthii chromosome 4, whole genome shotgun sequence.